rfam:Camelus ferus isolate Naran unplaced genomic scaffold scaffold67345, whole genome shotgun sequence.
GAGGGUAUAGCUGAGUGGUAAAGCAUGCCCCUAGCAUGCACAAGGUCCUGGGUUCAAUCCCCAGUACCUCCA